GGCGGGAUAGCUCAGUUGGUAGAGCACGCGACUGAAAAUCGCGGUGUCGGCGGUUCGAAUCCGCCUCCCGCCACCU
rnacentral:tRNA from 2 species